rnacentral:rRNA from 1 species
AUUGAACGCUGGCGGCAGGCUUCACACAUGCAAGUCGAGCGAGCGGCGGACGGGUGAGUAAUGUCUGGGAAACUGCCUGCUGGAGGGGGAUAACUACUGGACACGGUAGCUACUACCGCAUACCAUCAGAUGUGCCCAGAUGGGAUUAGCUAGUAGGUGGGGUAAUGGCUCACCUAGGCGACGAUCCCUAGCUGGUCUGAGAGGAUGACCAGCCACGCUGGGACGGAGACACGGUCCAGAUUCCUACGGGAGGCAGCAGUGGGGAAUAGUGCACAAUGGGCGCAAGCCUGAUGCAGCCAUGCCGCGUGUGUGAAGAAGGCCUGCGGGUGGUAAAGAACUUGCAGCGAGGAGGCGUUACUCGCAGAAGAAGCACCGGCUAACUCCGUGCCAGCAGCCGCGUAAUAC